GGGGAUUUAGCUCAGCGGUAGAGCGCUUGCCUAGCAAGCACAAGGCCCUGGGUUCGAUCCCCAGCUCA
rnacentral:tRNA from 1 species